rnacentral:rRNA from 1 species
CGCGGAACACAGGUGCUGCAUGGCUGUCGUCAGCUCGUGUCGUGAGAGUGUUGGGUUAAGUCCCGCAACGAGCGCAACCCUUGUCAUAGUUGCCAUCAUUUGUUGGGCACUCUAAGUGAGACUGCCGGUGACAAACCGGAGGAAGGUGGGGAUGACGUCAAGUCCUCAUGGCCCUUAUGGGUAGGGCUUCACACGUCAUACAAUGGUCGGUACAGAGGGUUGCCAACCCGCGAGGGGGAGCUAAUCCCACAAAGCCGAUCGUAGUCCGGAUCGCAGUCUGCAACUCGACUGCGUGAAGUCGGAAUCGCUAGUAAUCGUGGAUCAGCAUGUCACGGUGAAUACGUUCCCGGGUCUU